rnacentral:tRNA from 1 species
GGAAGAUUGGCCGAGUGGUUAAGGCAACGGAUUGCUAAUCCGUCAUUGAGAAAUCGAUGCAGUGGUUCGAAUCCACUAUCUUCCGCCA